rnacentral:rRNA from 1 species
UGCCAGCCGCCGCGGUAAUACGGGGGGAGCAAGCGCUGUCCGGAAUUAUUGGGCGUAAAGAGCUCGUAGGCGGUUUGGUAAGUCAGAUGUGAAAACUCAGGGCUCAACCCGGAGAGGCCAUCUGAUACUGCCAUGACUAGAGUCCGGUAGAGGAGUGUGGAAUUCCUGGUGUAGCGGUGAAAUGCGCAGAUAUCAGGAGGAACACCAACGGCGAAGGCAGCACUCUGGGCCGGUACUGACGCUGAGGAGCGAAAGCGUGGGGAGCAAACAGGAUUAGAUA